rnacentral:lncRNA from 1 species
GUAAAAACAAAAACAAAAAAACCAUGGCUCAUACAUGUCUGGCCGCCAUGGUGUCCUCCGUCACAGUCUCACUGCCCUAUCUGACCACCUCCUCCUACGCCAAACCGCCGUCUUACUUCUUCAGCAACCUCAAAAUCCUCCUUCUCAAAGCACCCCUUUCAGCUUCCCGACGAAGAACCCCCAAUUUCACUAGGUAUAAUAUGUAAUUACGAGUUCCUGUUUUCUUGUGUUUAUGAUCGAGCUAGCUUCUGUAUUUUAUUCAGGUGACUGAUAACCUUGUGGGGCGCCCCCAUAAUUGGAGCCUUUCGAUCACUGUGAAUUGCUACAACGAUCAAGUAGUAGACGAGGAUGAAGAUGAAGAAUAGGAUCGGAGUUUGGAUCUGUUAGUUAGAUUUGUUCAAAACGUAUUUAGAAAGAUUUCUAAACGAGCAAGGAAAGCCGCUCGAUCGGUUUUGCCUGUCUUCAUCCCUAGUAAUCUGGUAGGUAUCCUUCAAUCGAUUUUAUAUUCCUUUUUUUUCCUUAUGUAAUUUAUGAAGGAUCCCUAGGUGGGAUUAUCCGUUAAUGGUGGGUUUUAACGGCAUUUCUUGAGGUAAUUCAUCAUUUGAUUCACCUGUGUUUAAAUCGAGUAGUUAGUCACUUUACACUUACUACUUAACUCGCUAGCUUGGAUAUCAGCAAUUCGACUAUUUAUACAAAAGUAAUUAGCAAAAAUCAGCAGCGUUUCAAAUAUUUAUAAGCAGCAAAUUAGCAAUUCAUGUUCAUGUGUUUACCAGCAACUAAACUAACUUUUCAGUUUUUGUGAAGUAUGAGGACUAUAUUUUGAUAAACUAAUGGGAUUAGCUGCUUAGUUUUCAUAAAGUAGAGGGAUAGGAUAAACUAAUGUGCAGCUGUAAUUACUUAUAUGGAAAAUAUUGAUUUUAAUAGUGUUAGAGUCGGAUAAUGUUAGACUGAAAUGAAAUGGAAUAGGAUAAACUAAGUUAUAAACCAAAAGGGAUGAUUGGUUCAGUAGACUGAAAUGAAAUACUGUUAAACUGAUAGAAUAAAUCUACAUCUAUUGGUGGAAAACCUUGGCUGUUCUGGCUGGGAAUUCAAUAUGCUUUCUUAAGUUUUUGUGUUCAACAUUUUUAUUCUGGGUUGGUCUGGUUAUUAGUGCUGUUAACUUGGUUGGAAAUUUGGGCUUUUAGUUAUUUACAGUAGGGAUGUUUUGCGAACCAAUCAGCAACUUUCAGUUAGUUAUAUACAGUGGGAGGGUGGAUAUGGUCUCCCUGAUAGCUUUGAGGUAAUAUUAAUUUUCAAGACAAAGAACAACCUUUUAUAGAUAAAUAUCCUAAGAAAAUGUACAUAAAAAGACAUUAAGAAACAGAGUUGAAAGGUUCAUAUGUACUGAGAUCCUUGACAAUUGUAGCAAUGGAGCCAGCCGCUGCAAGAACUGAUACAAUCAGGCAAAGCAACACCAAGAAGUUUAACCAUAUCCAUUUCCAACUAAAGGCUCGGAUCUGUUCUCUCGAUAUGUGCAUUUGGAUUGGGAAAUACACUGUCAGCGGCCAAAACGAAGCGGCACCCAGGAGGCCGAGGAUUGCAUUGAAGAACGGUAGAAGCAUCGCCAGCACGAUG